UUUUUUAGGUUAUUUCUUUUCCUUUUCCUUCUUUUUUUUGAAGAAAAUAAAGAGAUUAUCUACGAGUUCCGUUUAUUUAUCGCGUCAUUUUCUUUAAUUACUUAAAUGCGACCAAAACGGUAGCGCUGGUAAUGAAGGAAGAAUAAUGCGAUGAGAAUGAAAUUAACGAGGCCAUGACGAAAAUUAACGCGGUCUAUGGUUUAAAAAAAGCUAGCUCAUUUGGGAUUAUAAAUGUAAACGAUUUUUAUAAUCUUCGUAGUAUAUAAAUGGUGUUCGUAAUUAAAAGGGUAAUAAUUAUUAAUUGAAUUUAUCGAUCGUGUGGAUUAUCUAAUGGAAGGAUGAUAAAUAAUAACGGGAAUGAGGAAGACGAGAGGUUAGAAGUUAAAUAAGGGAACGUACCGAUUAUUAAAUCGGUAUUAUUAAAUCGGUAUGACUAUCGAAAUUGUAAAUUAAUGAAAAUUAAAAAAAGAAAAAAAAGAAUAAUUGUUUACGAUUUGUGAUCAAACGAACACGUAAAUUUUGUGAAUUAACGAACUACAAUAACGAAAGUUCGUAAUACGAUAUAAUUUCUAUUCCAAACCUAACCUUAAAUUCAAAAUUGUUCAUUAACAUAAUUAUGCAUGUUCGUUCUUGAAAAACAUGAGAAAAAUAAAUAGAUAGAUAGAUAGAAAACAAAGAGAAAAAGAAAAACUGAAUUUAUCUUACAUGCAUACACACAUACAUACAUACAUGAUCGUUGCUGUUCCUAUUACGUACAAAACGAUGUAAUUUCUACAUAUCAUAAAUUACCUCGAUAAUGUUCUCGAAACUUAGCAAAAGCAAAAAAUAUGUCUACGUAGUACAACGUAAGUAAGUAAGUAAGUAAAUACGUAAGUAGGUACGUAUGUAUGUAUGUAUGUAUAAAUGUAAAUACGUAAAAGAGAAAGAAAAUACCCAAGGAAAUUUGUUCGUUUUGAAAGAAAAAUAUUCACCAGUCGUUUUCAUAAAAGUCAUAAAUAUACUUUCGACGAACUACGGUAGCCAUAGUAGUAGGUAGUAUAAGCGAGUAAAUAAGUAAGUACGUAUAUACGUACGUAUGUAUGUUGAAUUGAGUUCUUUCUCUUUUGAGAACUUUUCUAGCAUUCCGAUUGGUCAGAAAUGAAACUAUCUAUGAAAUGCAUACAUACAUAUAUACAUACGUACAUACAUACAUACUUACAUACAUCAUACGUACAUACAUAUAUAUAUAUAUAUAUAUAUAUCACAGAAAGUAUUUCGAUUAUCGUUCGACCAAGAAAGAAACAUGUUAACCAAAAAUAAACGUUGAAAAUUCGACUGUGAACGCUAGAAAAAGAGAGAAUCGACGGAAUGUCAUUUAAAGAGAAACUAUGGCGGAAAAUUCAAAGGACCUAAUAGGACCUUAUAGGACUACGUGUCGCUCGGUGUCGAAGGAAUCGAAUUCCAUGAAGAGAAAGAGAUAGAUAGAUAGAUCGAAAGAGAGAUAAAGGGAGAUAGAUAGAGAGAGAGAGAGAGAGAGAGAGAUAGAGUGAGAACUUUGUUCAUACUCGCUUCGAUAGCCGUCGUUUCCCGUUAAUUGGCAGUAACGGAUACGACAAAAGCAUGAACGUUCCACGACAGGAAACAAAGGACGAUGAGGGACAGGAAAGGGUUGAGAGUAGCCGUGGAAAUGGUAGUAGAGUUUUGGAGUAGGCGCGGGGAAGGGCAGCAACCAACUGGUUUCUACCAGUGAAAAGAAAAGCUCUCUACUCGUUCGUUCUAGUCGCUGCCAAUUAACAAUAGCAAGUACUGUAUGACGCCUCGAUCAGUUCAAAUAGCGAAUCGGAGAAAAGAGAUCGAUAGUCACGUGACUCGAUAACCAAGUUCGAGAAAUGAAGAAAGAAAUAAAAGGAAAGAAAAAGGAAAAAAAAAAAACAGAAAGGAACAAAGAAAAAUAAAAAAGAAGUGGAUAAGAAAUGCAUUCGAUCGAAUCGAAUCUCUGAACAAUUUUUUCUCUCGCAUCGAUCAGAAUGAGAUUAUCUUCGAUCAGAUCGUGUUCUAAGAAGUAGAUGCACUUCGUUCGUACAUAAGGAAGGAGAUGCACAUGACUUACCAACUUUUUGACACUUCGAGGUGACAAACGUGAAUUGAAGGAAGGAAGGAAAAAAGAAAAGAAGAAAGGAAGGAAGGAAGAAAGAAGGAAGGAAGGAAGGAAGGAAGGAAGGAAGGAAGAAAAGGAAAAAGACAGAAAAUGCCAGUCGGUGGACGUGUUGCUGGCAAAGUUGGGAUUUAUAGUUCCCAUUACAAUGGUAAUGGUGUGGAUAUCAUGGCAUUAGGUAAAGGUUACAGUGGUAUUAACGAAGAGAUAAUAUGGAUCAGUAUCGGCAUGGGUAUAACGAUAGCCGUGUUGAUAACGAUAGCACUUUGCUAUAUAGCACGUGAAAAGUGUCGUAAACGUCACGAGGGUUACUAUUCCUCCUGACACACGUUACCACCGCCCUCUUGGGCGACUUGCUCAACUUUC